GGUGAAAAGGUGAGGUAAGAGCUCACCAGCGGCCUGGUGACAGGUACGGCUAGGUAAACCCCACCCGGAGCAAGACCUAAUAGGGGAGAGUUAAGAGCUGCCCGCUCGUUCUCCCGGGUUGGUCGCUAUGCGCACUGCGGUGCGGACGAGGCCCCUGGCAACAGUGGCCCUAGACAGAUGACUGCUGCCGCGCAAGCGGUACAGAACCCGGCUUAUAGAUUCACUCGACAA
rnacentral:RNase_P_RNA from 1 species